GCCCGCGUGGCGGAAUUGGCAGACGCGCUAGAUUCAGGUUCUAGUGGGUAACACCGUACAGGUUCAAGUCCUGUCGCGGGCACCA
rnacentral:tRNA from 1 species